rnacentral:rRNA from 1 species
GCAAGUCGAACGGAAAGGCCCUUCGGGGUGCUCGAGUGGCGAACGGGUGAGUAACACGUGGGUGAUCUGCCCUGCACUUUGGGAUAAGCCUGGGAAACUGGGUCUAAUACCGAAUAUGAUCACGGGCUUCAUGGUCUGUGGUGGAAAGCUUUUGCGGUGUGGGAUGGGCCCGCGGCCUAUCAGCUUGUUGGUGGGGUAAUGGCCUACCAAGGCGACGACGGGUAGCCGGCCUGAGAGGGUGACCGGCCACACUGGGACUGAGAUACGGCCCAGACUCCUACGGGAGGCAGCAGUGGGGAAUAUUGCACAAUGGGCGCAAGCCUGAUGCAGCGACGCCGCGUGAGGGAUGACGGCCUUCGGGUUGUAAACCUCUUUCAAUAGGGACGAAGCGCAAGUGACGGUACCUAUAGAAGAAGGACCGGCCAACUACGUGCCAGCAGCCGCGGUAAUACGUAGGGUCCGAGCGUUGUCCGGAAUUACUGGGCGUAAAGAGCUCGUAGGUGGUUUGUCGCGUUGUUCUGUCGAAAACUCACAGCUUAACUGUGGGCGUGCGGGCGAUACGGGCAGACUUGAGUACUGCAGGGGAGACUGGAAUUCCUGGUGUAGCGGUGGAAUGCGCAGAUAUCAGGAGGAACACCGGUGGCGAAGGCGGGUCUCUGGGCAGUAACUGACGCUGAGGAGCGAAAGCGUGGGGAGCGAACAGGAUUAGAUACCCUGGUAGUCCACGCCGUAAACGGUGGGUACUAGGUGUGGGUUUCCUUCCUUGGGAUCCGUGCCGUAGCUAACGCAUUAAGUACCCCGCCUGGGGAGUACGGCCGCAAGGCUAAAACUCAAAGAAAUUGACGGGGGCCCGCACAAGCGGCGGAGCAUGUGGAUUAAUUCGAUGCAACGCGAAGAACCUUACCUGGGUUUGACAUGCACAGGACGUGCCUAGAGAUAGGUAUUCCCUUGUGGUCUGUGUGCAGGUGGUGCAUGGCUGUCGUCAGCUCGUGUCGUGAGAUGUUGGGUUAAGUCCCGCAACGAGCGCAACCCUCGUCCUAUGUUGCCAGCGGGUUAUGCCGGGGACUCGUAGGAGACUGCCGGGGUCAACUCGGAGGAAGGUGGGGAUGACGUCAAGUCAUCAUGCCCCUUAUGUCCAGGGCUUCACACAUGCUACAAUGGCCGGUACAAAGGGCUGCGAUGCCGUGAGGUGGAGCGAAUCCUUUUAAAGCCGGUCUCAGUUCGGAUCGGGGUCUGCAACUCGACCCCGUGAAGUCGGAGUCGCUAGUAAUCGCAGAUCAGCAACGCUGCGGUGAAUACGUUCCCGGGCCUUGUACACACCGCCCGUCACGUCAUGAAAGUCGGUAACACCCGAAGCCGGUGGCC